CAACUUUCAACAACGGAUCUCUUGGCUCUCGCAUCGAUGAAGAACGCAGCGAAAUGCGAUAAGUAAUGUGAAUUGCAGAAUUCAGUGAAUCAUCGAGUUUUUGAACGCAUCUUGCGCUCCUUCCGAGGAGUAUGCCUGUUUGAGUGUCAUUAAAUUA
rnacentral:rRNA from 1 species